rnacentral:lncRNA from 1 species
CUGCACCUGAAAUCAGUCUCCAGUGGCGUUUUGGUCCAGGAAAGUCCCUGACCUGUGGCUGGGUGUCCUUCCUCCUUUAACUCCAAGUGGCCAGUCGUGAUUUAGAAGCAGUGGCGUCCCUCUUGCGGCAACAUUUAGCAGCAUGUGGUUGGGCCGUCAACGAAUCCAAGGUCCAAGGUCCUGGAUUAUCUGCCAGAUUCUUGGGAGUUAUCUGGUCAGGCUCCAGUUAGUAGUUGCUGCCUAGGAGAUGAAGUGAAUUUCACAAGAAAGACAUAAGAAGCCAACAACUGCUAUUACCCCUGUAUGCACACAAGUUGAACCUAACGGCAUUAAAAGAAAAGGACAAGCUGUGAAAUGCCUAGAUUCCAGAGCAACAGACUGUGAUCCAUUCCCAACAACCCCUCCCUACCGUCUGCCACCAGUUCCCUUAAAGCAGGAAUCAGAGCUAGACUGACUCAACUAAGUGGAAAAUAUGUAUUGCCUAGGAAUUUGAAUUCUGACAGAAAUGUUGAGGAGAGGAGUAAAUCAUAUUAAAGAAUUGUUUUGGAGAACUUGGAACUCAACAUUCCAUAAAGCAAGAAGCUUGACAUAGCAUCGAUGAGCCCAAGUCAACUAUAUGAACAAAACAAUGUCUCAGGAGGGGCAGGGUAUCACGUCAGAAGAAUCCUGAGUCCUUAGAUGACCUUGUAGAAAAGAGCCACAAACUUACUCUGGGCUACCUUCAUACCUCUGAACUAUUAUGCAGAGAGAAAUAAAUGUAUUCAAAUCACUGUUUUUUGGGUUUCUUCAUUCAUGUAGCUUAGCCUAUAACCUAAGUAA